GAGAGGGGGGUAGGAAUUUUCAGGGUGUAAGCCGGUGAAAUGCGUUAGAAGAUCUGAAAGGAAAUACCGGUGGGCGAAGGCGGCCCCCCUGGACAGAUACUGACACUCAGAUGCGAAAAGCGUGGGGAGCAAAACAGGGAUUUAGAUACCCUGGUAGUCCACGCCGUAAAACGAUGUUCUACUUGGAGGGUUGUGGACCUUGAGCCGUGGCUUUCGGAGCUAACGCGUUAAGUAGACCGCCUGGGGAGUACGGUCGCAAAGAUUAAAACUCAAAUGAAUUGACGGGGGCCCGCACAAGCGGUGGAGCAUGUGGUUUUAAUUCGAUGCAACGCGAAGAACCUUACCUACUCUUGACAUCUACAGAAUCCUGCGGAGACGCGGGAGUGCCUUCGGGAACUGUAAGACAGGUGCUGCAUGGCUGUCGUCAGCUCGUGUUGUGAAAUGUUGGGUUAAGUCCCGCAACGAGCGCAACCCUUAUCCUUGUUUGCCAGCGAGUAAUGUCGGGAACUCCAGGGAGACUGCCGGUGAUAAACCGGAGGAAGGUGGGGACGACGUCAAGUCAUCAUGGCCCUUACGAGUAGGGCUACACACGUGCUACAAUGGCGCAUACAGAGGGCAGCGAACUUGCGAGAGUAAGCGAAUCCCAAAAAGUGCGUCGUAGUCCGGAUUGGAGUCUGCAACUCGACUCCAUGAAGUCGGAAUCGCUAGUAAUCGUGAAUCAGAAUGUACAGCGGUGAAUACGUUCCCGGGCCUUGUACACACCGCCCGUACACACCAUGGGAGUGGGCUGCAAA
rnacentral:rRNA from 1 species